rnacentral:rRNA from 1 species
GCCAGAGCCAUAUCUCCCUCCAGUUCUUGCCUGGUUUCCCAGUGAAGCUAAGCAGGAUUGAGCCUGGCUAGUACCUGGAUGGGAGACCUCCUCCUGGAUGGGAGACCUCCUGGGAAACUAAGGUUGCUGCUGGAA